GAUGAACGCUGGCGGCGUGCUUAACACAUGCAAGUCGAACGGUGAAGGCGGAGCUUGCUCUGCUGGAUCAGUGGCGAACGGGUGAGUAACACGUGAGCAAUCUGCCCCUGACUCUGGGAUAAGCGCUGGAAACGGCGUCUAAUACUGGAUACGAGCUGCGAAGGCAUCUUCAGCAGCUGGAAAGAACUUCGGUCAGGGAUGAGCUCGCGGCCUAUCAGCUUGUUGGUGAGGUACCGGCUCACCAAGGCGUCGACGGGUAGCCGGCCUGAGAGGGUGACCGGCCACACUGGGACUGAGACACGGCCCAGACUCCUACGGGAGGCAGCAGUGGGGAAUAUUGCACAAUGGGCGAAAGCCUGAUGCAGCAACGCCGCGUGAGGGACGACGGCCUUCGGGUUGUAAACCUCUUUUAGCAGGGAAGAAGCGAAAGUGACGGUACCUGCAGAAAAAGCGCCGGCUAACUACGUG
rnacentral:rRNA from 1 species